AACGAACGCUGGCGGCAUGCCUAACACAUGCAAGUCGAACGAGACCUUCGGGUCUAGUGGCGCACGGGUGCGUAACGCGUGGGAACCUGCCCUUAGGUUCGGAAUAACUCCCCGAAAGGGGUGCUAAUACCGGAUAAUGUCUUCGGACCAAAGAUUUAUCGCCUUUGGAUGGGCCCGCGUUGGAUUAGCUAGUUGGUAGGGUAAAAGCCUACCAAGGCGACGAACCAUAGCUGGUCUGAGAGGAUGAUCAGCCACACUGGGACUGAGACACGGCCCAGACUCCUACGGGAGGCAGCAGUGGGGAAUAUUGGACAAUGGGCGAAAGCCUGAUCCAGCAAUGCCGCGUGAGUGAUGAAGGCCUUAGGGUUGUAAAGCUCUUUUACCCGGGAUGAUAAUGACAGUACCGGGAGAAUAAGCUCCGGCUAACUACGUG
rnacentral:rRNA from 1 species